rnacentral:tRNA from 1 species
UAUGGUAAUAGUUUAUUGAAAACAGGAAAUUGCAAAUUUCUAGAACUUCUUGUUACCAUUU